rnacentral:rRNA from 3 species
GCUGAUGCGUUGUUGGGUAGGGGAGCGUUCUGUAAGCCUGCGAAGGUGGCCUGUGAGGGUUGCUGGAGGUAUCAGAAGUGCGAAUGCUGACAUAAGUAACGAUAAAGCGGGUGAAAAGCCCGCUCGCCGGAAGACCAAGGGUUCCUGUCCAACGUUAAUCGGGGCAGGGUGAGUCGACCCCUAAGGCGAGGCCGAAAGGCGUAGUCGAUGGGAAACGGGUUAAUAUUCCCGUACUUGGUGUUACUGCGAAGGGGGGACGGAGAAGGCUAUGUUGGCCGGGCGACGGUUGUCCCGGUUUAAGCGUGUAGGUGUGUGUUCCAGGUAAAUCCGGUUCACUUUAACACUGAGGCGUGACGACGAGGCACUACGGUGCUGAAGCAACAAAUGCCCUGCUUCCAGGAAAAGCCUCUAAGCAUCAGGUAACAUCAAAUCGUACCCCAAACCGACACAGGUGGUCAGGUAGAGAAUACCAAGGCGCUUGAGAGAACUCGGGUGAAGGAACUAGGCAAAAUGGUGCCGUAACUUCGGGAGAAGGCACGCUGACACGUAGGUGAAGUGAUUUACUCAUGGAGCUGAAGUCAGUCGAAGAUACCAGCUGGCUGCAACUGUUUAUUAAAAACACAGCACUGUGCAAACACGAAAGUGGACGUAUACGGUGUGACGCCUGCCCGGUGCCGGAAGGUUAAUUGAUGGGGUCAGCGCAAGCGAAGCUCCUGAUCGAAGCCCCGGUAAACGGCGGCCGUAACUAUAACGGUCCUAAGGUAGCGAAAUUCCUUGUCGGGUAAGUUCCGACCUGCACGAAUGGCGUAAUGAUGGCCAGGCUGUCUCCACCCGAGACUCAGUGAAAUUGAACUCGCUGUGAAGAUGCAGUGUACCCGCGGCAAGACGGAAAGACCCCGUGAACCUUUACUAUAGCUUGACACUGAACAUUGAGCCUUGAUGUGUAG